rnacentral:rRNA from 1 species
UCCUGGCUCAGGAUGAACGCUAGCUACAGGCUUAACACAUGCAAGUCGAGGGGCAGCAUGGAGUUGCUUGCAACUUCUGGAUGGCGACCGGCGCACGGGUGAGUAACGCGUAUCCAACUUCCCUUAACCCAGGAAUAGCCCGCUGAAAGGCGGAUUAAUGCCUGAUGUGGUCCAUCGAGGACAUCUGACUUGGACUAAAGGUCAACGGUUAAGGAUGGGGAUGCGUCUGAUUAGCUUGUUGGCGGGGUAACGGCCCACCAAGGCUACGAUCAGUAGGGGUUCUGAGAGGAAGGUCCCCCACACUGGUACUGAGACACGGACCAGACUCCUACGGGAGGCAGCAGUGAGGAAUAUUGGUCAAUGGGCGGAAGCCUGAACCAGCCAAGUAGCGUGCAGGAGGACGGCCCUACGGGUUGUAAACUGCUUUUAUGCGGGGAUAAAGGACCCUACGUGUAGGGUUUGCAGGUACCGCAUGAAUAAGGACCGGCUAAUUCCGUGCC